rnacentral:sRNA from 1 species
AUUAAAUAAAAGACAUGUUGCAACCCACUCUCUCCCAAACCUAAACCAAAACCAGAAAACAGAAACUCCUUCACAUUCUAAUCAAAGACUCAUUACCAAGAUUCAAGAUCGAUGAACAAUGAGAAAUUAAAAGUUUCACAUGCAAAGCAUACUGAAGAAUGAAGAUCCAAAAUGCGAAUACAAGUUUGAAGAUCAAACUAAAGCAGCAGAUAGGAAAAAUGCAGUGGUGAAGAACAGUGAAGCUGAACUAAAAAAGUUGAAAUGAUUAAGAAAAAGAAGAGCUGAAGAAAUUGUAGUUACCUCAGAGAAAGAGUUAUAUAUGGUUGACAAUGAAAUUGGCGACUUCAACAUUCAAGUGUAGGAACUCCAAAACUGGUUGUGAAUCUUGUGCUGAUAGAAUGAUGAAUCUCUUUGAGGCUUGAUCUGGUGAGUGAUAUAUAAGAAAAACCAUGGAUUUGAUGUAGAAAGAAACCAUGUUUAUUAUCUCAGAGAGGAAUCUCCUUUCUCUCUCUCUGUGAUGGUAGUUUAUAAUUUAUUUUUUAUGGUAGUCUGAAACACUUUGUUUAAUUAAAUGGUAAACCUAUUUUAUAAUCAUCAAAGCUCAGAUGAACAGUGUAACUUAUUACUGUGUAGAAAAACUGUCUCAGAGAGUGUGAUGAAGAGUUCCAAUGAGGGAAUUAUAUAUAUUUAUAUUUUCAGUGAGUCUGAUCAUAUCAUAUAGUUUGAUUUUCUUACCAUUUAUCUGACCAAUACUGAGGCACGUGAGAGGCAGAAUGCACGUGCCCCCACAUUGUCUGCUUUUGUUUUGCUUCUUUUUUUGGUUUUCCAUGUAUUCUCUUUUUAAGACAACGCUAUUUGAGGCAUUAAACUCGACAUUUCUUUUAAGGAAGAUUCAAAUUUUGUUCACUGUGCUGUGGUAAAUGAA